AUAAUCUUUAUCUAACUGGAGCACUUUUUAAAUGAUUUUUAAAUGUCUGCUUUUCUAAAUGCUUAUAAACAGCAUUUGAAGCAAAAGUCAAUCACUUCCAUGCUCCGUCGGCCAUGAUGAACCACAAUAUAUAUAUAUAAUUUUAAAUUUUACCCCAUUUUCUGAUGGUUCUAAUAUCUGCAUAUGAAAUGUUACAAAGUCAAAACACCAGAAGUCCACAAGAAACUGAGAGCCAAAGGGAGAAAACUGGGCACUCAAGAAUUCCAAGCUUCUAAGUAUAGAAAGCUGAAA